GGCUCAAUCACACAUUGUAAGAGAGAAAAAACAAGGAGAGGACACAGCAGUGAAACCAGCAAGCUGGCACUUGUUAGUGACUGUUUGAAAGGAAGGGAAAUCAAAAUUCCAGUAAGAAAUCAGUGACCUGACAAAGCACAGACACCAAGCAGCAGCAGAGGACAGCCUGGGGAGGGUCCUGUGCAGUUCCACUUCAGCUGAGGUCAGAAUGCAGAGCAGCACCACAUGCGGCAGCAGGACUGUGUACACAUGGGCACAUGCAUGUUUCUGCCCAAGUCCCCACUCCUGAUAGGAGAUGGAUAAAUAGAAGUGACCCAGAGGUCUGGGGUUACAUCUGCUUAGACUCAAUGACUCGAAAUCCAUUUCAGGCUCCUUAGCGGCCCCAUUCAGCACAGUCAUGCUGGAGCCAGGAUAUGAAGGGCACCUGUCAGGGCUAUUUCAGGAACCAGAGGCCUCCCUCCCCUCCAUGCUGAGCUCACGUUGUAUCAGAUGAGGUCUGCUGGAGCAGUGUGCAUGGAAAGUCUGGUUUUCAGUGAGAAGUCUGGAUGACAAAGUGACUUUCCAAGCCCCCUUGUCACUGACAGCUCCAGCUCUGACCAUGACACCAGGAUACAGACAGGAGCAACCAGGCUCGCUCUUCAAUGAAGGCUAUUUCUGCAAAUACCUCAUCUUUACUCUUUCUAAUUGCUGCCACAGGCUUCAGUACCCCCUCAGCAUGACCUGAGCUGACCUCAGGCACCUCCACACGGCCAUAUGGGCUCCAGCACAGCCUGUCCCUGUCCCUGCAGGGCCAUGGUAAUAGAGCCUGCAGCCAGAGCACACUUGGCUUGAUCCAGAACAGCCUGGAGGAGAAGAUAAAUAAAGGAGGGACAAAGUGUUUUAACACAGGAGACAAAAUAAACAUGUUAAGUGCUCUAUAUGCAAAAGCAGGAGGAAUCCCACUGCCUCAGGAAUGUUCCUGCUGUGACUUGAAUGUGGUACAAACCCUCUUCAAACGCUUCAUCACUGAAUGUUUCUCUGCAAAUCCUGCUUGCCAGGGCAGGGGAAGUCUCUGUCACACAGCCAGCUCCUCACCAACAAGCUUUGGAGGUUUACAUUUACAAGCUUCAAGGCUCUCAUCUGCUGCAAGAAGUGAUGGUGCCAAAGCCUUGAAGGAGCAAACUGGAACGGAGCAAGGAGCAGUCCACAGCCUGGAAUGGGCAGAAAGGGAUCAUUUGAUUCCUGGAAGGAUUAAAACAGCUCGUAAAGCAGCCCCAUUCAGUCUGCAGCAUCUGCAGGCAAUGACAUCGCAGCUCAACAGGGCUCUUUACCAGCAGUUUGAGAAAACAAUUGUACAUGCUGCUCUUGAGAGGUUUAAGCUGCCAUAAUUCAUGUUCAUACCUCUAACCAUGAAAGGAUGAAGAGAAGGUUUAUUGCAGCGAUGUGCCACAAUAAUCUCAUUGCGGCUCUUUUCUCGGGAUUUGCUUUAAAGCUUCAGGAACUUCGGGGAGUUAUUUGGACACAUCAUGAGAUGUCUGGAGGCACUGGAGUUGUGCUCAUGGAAAAGAAGGCUCACAAUUUAUUCAGUCCCAAUCCCCCCCCCUAGUGUGACCUCAGAGCUCAGUAAAUCAAGACGCAAAGCCUGGAAAAUGGGGAGAACACAUCCUGUCUGCUUGCUGGAUCCAUGUGGACCUGCAGUACAGGUACUGCCUAAAGCCCUACUGCUGCCAGACAGAGCACAGCCACAGCCUCCAACAUCUUUGUUCAUUCAGGCCCUCCAAUGUUUUAAAUUGGGAUGAUUAAUUGUCUCAUCAUGAAUUCUGUUGGAAAUGUGUUAUUUUGAUUCUUUCAGCGCGCAGGGACCAAAAGCCUCUCCUGGCAAUUGCUUCCUAAAAGCUGCGAUGUUGUCACUGCCACCCUGCUCCACAGCAGCAGGAGAGAACAGCCGGCAAUGGAGAGGUGGAAUUAAGGAGCAUGCUGCUGUAUCACUGAUCUGGUGGCUGGGCGCAGCAUGAGCCGUUGGGAUCACACACUGCCAAGUGGAUGGGAGUCUCCAAAUUCCCUUAUUAUCAUCCUGUGAAUCCCCUGGGAAUCACAGCAUCCCAUUUCAUCUGCCUUGUUCUCUCCUCCUAGGUUUCCUUGACCUGUUCUGCUCUGUGCCAUAGCAGCUGCAGGACUGGUACCAAUGGUUGUUCUGUUCCCCUCUAUCCAUGUGCCACAGUCCCAUCCAUCCCCAGGAGGUAUUGCAACCUGCCUCACAUCGGCAAACUCCCCCCAAGAGCCCCAGCUUCAGUGCACUUCAUGCUGUGAUUUUCCUCCCCUUGACCUGUCCAUUGCAUGGCAAACUUCAGCCCCCUCAGCCCAGCACGGUCCCUUUGUCCAGCACAGCUCAAUGAAUAGCGCAAUAAAGGAGAGUGGGAAGAGGAGAGCUUUUCA
rnacentral:lncRNA from 1 species